rnacentral:rRNA from 1 species
CCUGGUUGAUCCUGCCAGUAGUCAUAUGCUUGUCUCAAAGAUUAAGCCAUGCAUGUCUAAGUACACACUUUGGUAAAGUGAAACCGCGAAUGGCUCAUUAAAUCAGCUACAAUUUAUUAGAUCGUACACUGUUACUUGGAUAACUGUGGGAAUUCUAGAGCUAAUACAUGCCGAGAGUCUCUGCUCUUUGGGGCAGAGCGCAGUUAUUAGACCAAAACCAGCCGUAUUCUUCGGGGUACGCUCUUUUGGUGACUCUGGAUAACCUUCAGCCGAUCGCAUGGCCUCGUGCCGGCGACGUAUCUUUCAAGUGUCUGCCCUAUCAACUUUCGAUGGUACGUGAUAUGCCUACCAUGGUGAUAACGGGUAACGGGGAAUCAGGGUUCGAUUCCGGAGAGGGAGCCUGAGAAAUGGCUACCACAUCCAAGGAUGGCAGCAGGCGCGCAAAUUACCCACUCCCAGCUUGGGGAGGUAGUGACGAAAAAUAACAAUGCGGGACUCUAAGAGGCCCCGUAAUUGGAAUGAGUACACCUUAAAUCGUUUAACGAGUAUCAAUUGGAGGGCAAGUCUGGUGCCAGCAGCCGCGGUAAUUCCAGCUCCAAUAGCGUAUAUUAAAGUUGCUGCAGUUAAAAAGCUCGUAGUUGGAUCUGGGGCUUGAGGUCGCUGUCUAUCGUUUCGGCGAUGACGGUGAUGCUCAGCUCUGCUUGCCGGUGACUGUUGCGGUGUUCUUCACUGAGCGCUGUAGCAGCACGGCACGUUUACUUUGAAAAAAUUAGAGUGCUCAAAGCGUGCUUGUCGCUUGAAUAAUGUUGCAUGGAAUAAUGGAAUAGGACCUCGGUUCUAUUUUGUUGGUUUUCGGAGCUUGAGGUAAUGAUUAAGAGGGACGAACGGGGGCAUUCGUAUUGCGGUGUUAUAGGUGAAAUUCUUGGUUCGCCGCAAGACGGACUACUGCGAAAGCAUUUGCCAAGAACGCUUUCAUUAAUUAAGAACGAAAGUCAGAGGUUCGAAGACGAUCAGACACCGUCCUAGUUCUGACCAUAAACGAUGCCGACCAGCGAUCCGUAGUGGUUGCUUUAUGGACCCUACGGGCAGCCUCCGGGAAACCAAAGUAUUUGGGUUCCGGGGGAAGUAUGGUUGCAAAGCUGAAACUUAAAGGAAUUGACGGAAGGGCACACCAGGAGUGGAGCCUGCGGCUUAAUUUGACCCAACACGGGAAAACUCACCCGGUCCGGACACCGUAAGGAUUGACAGACUGAUAGCUCUUUCUUGAUUCGGUGGAUGGUGGUGCAUGGCCGUUCUUAGUUGGUGGAGUGAUUUGUCUGGUUAAUUCCGAUAACGAACGAGACUCUAGCCUGC